GGCAGUACCGGGAGACUGACCCGUAGCUAGCAGACAAUUCAGUCCCAGUACUCGGCAAGCGUGAUGGGGCUUGCUUUCAGCGCUCUUCAGAUCUCUGAAAAGAGUCGGUGCAUUCAUUAAAGCUACGUAAUGCGACGAUCUUGUUUGCAGCUGAUACCGCAUCGCUCGGGGAGAACGUCGUUCUCCUCGAGGGUCCGUGGCCCCA
rnacentral:sRNA from 10 species